AUGGAAAUCAAGUCUAGAGGAGCUGGUUCGGAGCAGGGGUCAUCUAUCCCUUGGAAUGGAGAGGCUGGCAAUUCUGGCUUUUGGCUAUCUUUUCACGGAACACCCCUGAUUAGCCAGACCCACCACCAUCCACAUCUGCUCUGCAAAGAAGGAAAGAGACCAGAGCACGGGCUGAGAGACAAAGGAGGGAGAGCCCUGUCUGGAAAAAUGAAGAGCCAGAGCCAGCACAGCUCGUUAUGCAAACAUGAUUCCAGGCGUGCUCCGCUGCCCCCUCCCCAGCUUUCAUUUUCAGCUUGGCUUCUCCCUGGCCUCCCUCCUGCGCCCCUCCUGCCAGCCUCUACUUUCUCUCCACCGAGCCUGAGGGCACAUAAGCCAGCAGGGAGGGUGAGGGCUUGGACUCUGUUCACCAGGGGGUGAGGAGGGGAGGAAGGAAACUGUCCCCAAAGCAGAACAGAGCCCAGGGGUCCACAUCUCCUUCUGGCAGCUACCCCUUCAUCCACAUGGAGACAGGACAGUGGCUGAAAGAAGUGCAAGAGUGGAAUAAUAAUAGUAGCAGUGAAAACAUUAGCAUUUUGCAGCCUGCAAAGUGUUUUACAAGCCCCAGUCUCAUCGCAACCCUUGUAAGGAGGCAGUAUUUACUCUAUUUAUUAUCAUCAAACAAUUAUAUGAUGCUUACUACCUGCUAAGCAUGUCACAUGUCUUAACUGUCUUAGUCAUGACAACAACCCUAUUAUUCCCGUUUUACAGAUGACAAGCUGAGGCCUAGACCGGUAAGUACCUUCCACCCCAUGCCCCUCCCUCUUUGCUCCUCUGAUCUCUCCUCCUGUCUUCCCUUGUCAAGCUUCCUAUUGUCUCAUCUUCUCAUGUCCUCCCUAAUUCCCCUUCCAAUCUUGCUGCCUCACUAAACUUCAAGCUGGCUUCUGUUCACUCUCAAGGCAACCCCUCCAACCAGCAACAGGACCUGGUGUGACUGCACAUGAUCAGCAGCCCCUUCAUUUUGGGGCCAGUUGUUAGCAACUCCCCAAAAAAUCAUACAGCAUCUAAAGUGAAAUAUGACAAUGUCUUUGGAGCUGCUGUUUUUACCCACAUUCUUUCCAAAAAGGUCUGAAAUGACUUACCAUAUAAGACACAGAUCACCAGGUACAGUGGCCUAUGCCUGUAAUUCCAGCAUUUUGGGAGGCCAAGUCAAGAGGAUAGCUUCAGUUCAGGAGUUCCAGACCAGCCUGGGGAGUUAGUGAGACACCAUCUUUACAAAAAAUUUAAAAAUUAGCCAGGCAUGCUGGCACGGGCCUGUAGUCACAGCUACUGGGAGGGCUAAGGCGGGAAGACCCCUUGAUCCCAGGAGUUUGAGGCUGCAGUGAGCUAUGAUCAUGCAACUAUAGUCUAGCCUGUGCACCAGAGUGAGACACUGUCUCUAAAUAAAUAAAUUAAAUUAAAAAGACACAGAUAUAACAGAACCAUCCAAAUACCCAUGAAAGAACAAGAACGGAUAAAGAAGUGAGGAUUUUAAAAUGUCCUGGGAAAAGAAACCUAAGAAUGGACAGUCACUGCAGAGGAACCCAGAACUUAGCCCUCAGUUUCCUAGAUGAAACCAGGUAGUAGCCAAACAGCCUCCUCACCUACUACCAGAAAUACACAGAGCACCUACUACGUGUCAUGCAUCAAAGACAUGAUCAACAACACUAAGGACCUGGAAUUUUCUUUUUCUUUUUUUUUGUAGGGGGGACAAAGUCUCGCUUUGUCGCCCAGGCUGAAAUGCAGAGGCGUGAUCUCUGCUCACUGCAAACUCCAGCUCCUGGGUUGAAGUGAUUCUCCUCCCUCAGCCUCCUGUGUAACUGGGAUGACAGGCCCAUCCCACUACACCUGGCUAAUUUUCAUAUCUUUAGUAGAUACAGGGUUUUGCCGUAUUGGUCAGGCUGGUCUCGAACUCCUUACUUUAGAUGAUCCACUCGCCUCAGCCUCCCAAAGUGCUAGGAUUAUAGGUGUGAGCUAUCAUGUCCGGCUCAGACCUGGAAUUUUCUAUUCACUCUACAAGUUUGAGAUUUUGACCGAAAUGUACUGGCACAUUUGCCACAGAAAAUGUGAAAGGACUCUGGGUUAAAAGAGCUUAAGAGCAGUGAGGAAUAUAAAAGUUGGGGCCCAGCCCAUCAUGGUGGCUCACGCCUAUAAUCUCAGCCCUUUGGGAGGCCAAGGUGGGUGGAUCAUGAGGUCAGGAGUUUGAGACCAGCCUGAUGAACAUGGUAAAACCCUCGUCUCUACUAAAAAUACAAAAAUUAGCCGAACGUGGUGGCACACGCCUGUAAUCCCAGCUACUCAGAAGGCUGAGGCAGGAGAAUUGCUUGAACCUGGGAGGCAAAGGUUGCAGUGAGCCUGGAUCAUGCCAUUGCACUCCAGCUUAGGUGACAGAGCAAGACCCCAUUUCAAAAAUAAAUAAAUAAAUAAAUAAAUAUCAGAGAGCAUGGGACCUAGGGAGAAGGGCCCACACAAAGUUGUCCCAAUGCUAGUCCCCCUCCCAGAACUGAGAAACUGAAUCUGAAGUGUCAGUGAUAGCCCUGCCCCCAAGCCCUUUCAGCCCCUUCCCAUUCCUAAAUCGCUAUUUGGGACCAAGUCCCUGCCAGCCAGUUGGUGGCAUGUGGUGCUGUGAGGGCUGCUCCUGGAUUCUCCUGCUUGUUAGCACAUCAGCGUGGGGCUCAUCAGGCACUGUAAUAAAUCAAAGGAAAAUAAUCUCCCACACUCUCGCACAGAAACAAAAUCUGCCCUCUCUGUUGGCACAAUUUCUGGCCUGCAGGAGGAAUGAGUACAAGAGAGUGACCUCAGGCACAGGGGACAGGAGACACACAGGGAGGAAAGCGAUGGAUCCUGGCCAGGGAAAACUCCAAACUUGCAAGCCAGGCUCCUCCCACAAAUAAUCACAAAAUGCUGCCCCUUCCCAGCAGCCAGCAAAAAAUAGUCCCCACCCUUACAUGCCUGUGUGUGAAAUGUAUAGGUAUUAAACUUAAGUUAGUUCUUAGGAAGGCUGACACCCAGUCUGGCAAGCGCUGGAGGUCUCUAAACAGGAAACGCCUCCAGGCAUCUGGCAUUGGCAAUAGGAGCUGGGGCCCCCACUCAAGGUCAGGAGACACUGGCAUUGGCCAGUCGGGGGGUUGGGCUGGUGGAAAUCAGACUGAAGCACAUUCCUGGGCAGGUAGGUCCCAGUGUUUACCGGCAUGGACAAGUGAUGUUACCUGCUCACUCACCAUGAAAAAUGACCUCCUGCCAGGUACAGUGGCUCACACCUGUAAUCUCAGCACUUUGGGAGGCUGAGGCCGGCGGAUCACAAGGUCAGGAGUUCGAGACCAGCCUGGCCAAUAUGGUGAAACUCUGUCUGUAUUAAAAAUACAAAAAUUAUCCGAAUGUGGUGGUGUGCACCUGUAGUCUCAGCUACUCGGGAGGCUGAGGCAGAAGAAUCACUUGAACCCAGGAGGCGGAGAUUGCAGUGAGCCGAGAUCGAACCACUGCACUCCAGCCUAGGUGUGACAACAGCGAGACUCCUCUAAAAAAAAAAAAAAAAAAAGAAAAAGAAAAAUUACCUCCUUAUUUUCCCCUUCCUCUCCCUUGCCUGAGGCAUAGUUUGUUAUCAGGGGCUUCUAGGCAAAAACAAAACACAGCAAAAACCCUGGAGUUAGAGCAGAAGCUCAUAAAAUUUUCCACAGAACAAAAUUACUCUAGCUCUUUCCCAGAAGGAAAACAAAAAACAAACAAACAGAAAACCUCACUGUAGCUCCCUGGCAACCCAGGGACCAUUCUUUCACUUUCAAAGCCUGACCAAGCCUCCAGUGAAUACAGACAGACCACAAGAAGGGUCCCACCCCAUAAGCAGGUAAACCAGAAGAUGGCAAACCCCUCCCCAGAAGCACCUCUCCCAGAUACAUGUAUCUCCUCAGGGAACGCCCAUUCUCGGUGCCCAGAUGCACUCAGAACAAACGGCAUUCACACCAAAGUACUGAUUCCUCAAACCGGCAUGCAAAGCCCUCUUUUACGCAGAACCACACUGAGCUCCUAUGGCUUUUCCCUCUCCGUCCCUCCCCAUCUUGCCAGCUACUGGUACCUUU
rnacentral:lncRNA from 1 species